rnacentral:rRNA from 1 species
AAGCGUGCGCAGGCGGUUAUGUAAGACAGAUGUGAAAUCCCCGGGCUCAACCUGGGAACUGCAUUAGUGACUGCAUAGCUGGAGUACGGCAGAGGGGGAGUGGAAUUCCGCGUGUAGCAGUGAAAUGCGUAGAUAUGCGGAGGAACACCGAUGGCGAAGGCAAUCCCCUGGGCCUGUACUGACGCUCAUGCACGAAAGCGUGGGGAGCAAACAGGAUUAGAUACCCGUGU